GAAGGUGUAUCUAGAAAGACAAAUUAGAGCUUGAAAAGUAAAGCAUUUCAUUUACAUUGAAAAGUAUAUUGUGUAAUUCAAUUUAAUUUGAUAAUAAAAAUUUAUUAAUUUUUUUUGUUUAAAAAUUUAUUUAAUAAAAUUAAUUUUAAGUAAAGUUUUUUUUUUGUAUAGUAUAUAGAUCAAAUAGUUUAUAUAAUAGUUAAUUAGUAUUGUAAAAGAAUAUUGAAAUAUGUGAAAAAAUUUUAAAUUAAAAGUAAAUUUUAUAUAUUGUACCUUGUGUAUCAGGGUUUAUUAAUUAAAAGUUAAAAAUUUAAUUUUUCUCGAAUUUGAGAGAGUUAAUUUAUUAUUUAAUUUUUUGUUUAAAAAAAAUUUAGAAUAGUAAAUUAGAAAUGAAAUGUUAUUCGUUCUUAAAUAUAUCUAGUUUUUUAAGAAAUAAAUUAAAUUUAGAUUAUUAAUAAAUAAUUAUUUAUUUGAAUAAUAAAUUAUUAUUAAUAAUUAAUGUUUUAGGGGAUAAGCUUUAAAAUAAGUUUUUAUAAUAAUUUUUUAAUUUAAAAAUUAUAGGUUUAGAAAUAGUCAUUAAUUAUAAAAAUGUUAUAAUUUAUUUUAAAUUAAAAAUAAUUUUUAUUAAUUUAAGUUUUUAUUAAAAUAAUUUUUAAAAUUAUAUAAGAAUUAAAAUAAUGAUAAAAUUAGUAUAUUUGAUUGUUUUAAAUAAAUAGAUUGAAAGGUUAAGUUAAGGAACUUGGCAAAUAAAUACUCGCCUGUUUAACAAAAACAUGUCUUUUUGAAUAUAAUUUAAAGUCUAAUCUGCCCACUGAAAAAUUUUAAAGGGCCGCGGUAUU
rnacentral:rRNA from 1 species